rnacentral:lncRNA from 1 species
GAAAAAAAAGAAAAAGAAUGAGAGAAAUGCCCUAUGCUUCAUAUCUUUUAAAAACCUCUGGUAUUUGAUAUUGCCGUCAGCCCUUCCAGCCUUCUGCAGAAGACUCACUGAAGACGAAGACUUGUCUAUAUCCAUCCAAGUUGAAGUGAUGGAGACAUAUGUACAGGGAAUAAUGGAUGUUUCCCUAGAGCCUAAUCCAAGGGCUAAUAGGAGGCUGCAGAGAACUAGAUACAAGUCAUGGUCUGCUCCUUGAAAUUUCCUGGAGAAGUCGCCGAUUUAGUGAGGAUACAAAAGGAGAGUAAAAUUCAGCCUGCCAGUUGGCUCCAAUGACAUGAGGAGAAAGAAGUGUCAACUGGAACUGCCUCAUCCUCCUCCAUUCUACUUCAUUGUUGCAGUGUGGAAGUGCAAUUUCUGGGCAUUGGUGACACCAGUAAGCGCAAAAUAGGACACUGACUACCAUGAACUCCUCCUGUCUGAUUUGAUCAUUUGUUGACAAGUGUAUCUGUGAGGAGUGGGGGUAGCUUGGUGCUUCUCUUUGCCAACUGUCACCAAUGGGAGUGAAAGAAAGCAAAGUGCCAGCUACCACAGCUUCUAAAGAUUAUAAAAUGUGCAAGAGAGAAACGCCAGAUUACUCUCAGAGGAUCUCCAAUUAGACUCACAGCAGACUUCUCAUCAGAAACCCUACAGGCUAGGAGGGAAUGGUAAGAGAUAGCCCAACUACUAAGAGAAAAAAACGGCCAUCCCAGAAUAUUAUAUCCAGCAAAGAUCUCAUUAGUGAAUGAAGGUGAAAUAAAGACCUUUCAUGACAAACA